rnacentral:lncRNA from 1 species
AGGCCUGCGUGAAGGUAAAUGCAAAUCAGCUCCGCCCAGCGCUUCCCGCAGAAGGAGGGUUUUCUGUGUGCGCGUCUGGUUUCCUCCGCCUUCAGCCAGAAUGCUGGCUUUAUUUUUGCGGUUUAUGAGCUUGAGACAGGGAAUUCAUUUCCUUGGUAUAAUAUGACCCUCUGGAGAAAGUCUUGUCCAGAUAUAUUUUGCUCCCAAACGCCGCCCUAGAAGAAGGACUACACUGAAAUGAAACGGAGAUGAUUAAAGUCUGAUUUAUAGGCUGUACAAGCCCUGAAAGCAAGAACGGGGUUCACGGCAUCUUGAUACCCCCAUGUGGGGACGUUUUGGCGAUUUUAUUUACAAGAAAGGGAUUUUACACCGGAGAGGCUUUUAAAUAUGCUAACAGACUGGACCAGCUUUCUCAUCCCCACUGGCUGAUUAAUGAUUCCUCCAUGCCAACCCGGUUCUCAGAGACACCAAGGCCAGGGUCUCAUUCUGUCACCUAGGCUGGUAUGCAGUGGCACAAUCACGGCUCACCAUAGCCUUGACCUCCUGGGCUCAAGAGAUCCUCCUGCCUCAUCCUCCUGAACAGCUGGGACCACAAGCAUGAGCCACCACGCCUGGCUAAUUUUAAAUUUUUUUUGUAGAGACGGGGUCUUGUUAUGUUUCCCAGGCUGGUCAAUCAUUUUUUUCUAGCCCUUUUAAAAUUCAGGCAUCCAAAGAUUAAACUUGCUUAGAAGUGUAAGUGGCCCUAAAUUGCUUUAUCAACACCAUCUCCAGGAAGUCUUCACAGACAUGGGAACUAGCAUCUUGUUCUCCUGGAUCUUCUCAACAGGUUUGCAUUGUCAGGUUUCCAUGUAAGUAUCUCUUGCGUUCCCAUCCAUCACAAGUGUAUGAUGGCACUGGUAUCAGAACACUGCAUUCUUCCUGAUUGUCAUAAAACUGAUGUACUUGCAGCCUUGCUUGAAAAGUUGUCAGUACAAAUAAAAUUAAAUUCACAUUUUGCAUAAUAGGGACUGAUCCUGAUGGAUCAGGUCAUAAGAGUAUGAAACAUUCCAUACAUCCUGGCAGACAAACGUUAAAUAACAGUAAUAUACUAAUAAAUACAUAAAUUACUUAAAUAUUUAAAUAGCAUGAAGGCCCAUGGCAACUUGAGAGCUGGAAAAUCUAUACAUAAAUUAGCUGAUUGUUUCAAUGAGCAUUUAGCAUCUAACUAUA